UUACACGCAUUUUCGUUCUUUUCACUUUGUGGUCGUUAGUGAUAUCGCUAUUCUCGGUUUUUUUCCUUAUUCGGCGAUAAAUACCGAAAAUUUCGAAGUUUGUCUGCCAUAUUGUUUAUUUUUCUAUAUAGACAUAACAGUAAAAGGUAAGUAGUUUGUGAUUAGUUUUAACGAUUUUGUGACUUUCUUUUCAAAUCACUUUAUAGGGGAAAUGUGCACAGAAAGAGGUCGCUUCCUGGCCUGUACCGUCGUCUAAAGCGCCGAUUGUUAAUUCAAAACGAUGUGUACAUACCAAGAUUCAAUGUUUAUAAAUUAUAUUUUGGAGUUCGAGUUUUAUUGAUCGAGUGACAAGUAACGUAUUGUGCAUUCUUUAUUGCAAUGAUCAAAAACAAUACAUGUGAGAGGAGAAAUACAAUGUAGCUAGUUGAAUAACCAUUUAACAUGUUUAUUAAAUGGAAAUCAAAUUUAUAAAACAUUUUUCUCUUUUAAUUUCAGUUUCAAAUAUAGCCAACAGAUUCUACACUCACUACAGGCCAUGGGGAUGAAAAUAUCACAGAACUGUUGGAUCAGCUCUCAUAGUACCAGCUAUCUUCUGAUGAACUACCCAGUUUUACGGCAAUGGGAGCAAUGGCAGAGAUAAUAGAUGACAUUUUACAUUGCCAAAAAAACAACAUAAUGACAUUCUUUCAAAUAUCAAUUCCUACUGUGGGAGAGCUUUUUCAAUUAUAAAGAAAUAUUGACACUGAAUUCUGAUCAGAACUUGACUAUGUUAGAUUUAUAUUGUACAUUGUUGUAUGCUGUUAUCAAAUAAAUGUAACUAAACUUGAAACUGGCAGUUGUCUUGAAAAUGUGCCUAGUGGUGGUGCCUUAAAAACAACAUAACAGACCACUGUUUAAUACAAUAAAAGUUCACAGUAGAAUAUAUAUUGUUUUUUGUAUAUAAACAAAUUUUUAUGUGAAAUUAUGAACAUUACCACAUUCAUAUUAAAAAGUCCGCAUCUACGUCACGCGUUUUUACACGCUUUUUGACAUGUCAUGUCAUGUCAUGACAUGAUUUCCCAUUGUCAGAGGUUGACAUGUAUGUAGACAAGUUGUCACUCAACGUCCAGUGGUUUAAAUUUCAUGAAAGUUCAGGACUGUAGACAAAACGCAAUUAUACGCUAAAAUAACGAUUAGGAGAGCCUCACGCCGGAAUAUCAUAUAAACACUUUAAAGGGGGAGGAUGCAUAUCACCCAGGGAGAGGCGAUGAUUCACAAGUUAUUAAACGAGCACCAGCAUAUGACAUAGUAUGAAGAUCAUCUUUUUUUCUACGUUGUAUUAUUUUGGGCGUUGCAAAUAUUGAAUCAAGGAAGUAUUUGAUUUUUUGAUUUUUUUCCCCCUUUUUUUGUAAGGGAAGAAGACAAUGAAUUUGCUUUGAUAUUUUCUAAGGUUAAACAAUGCAAUAUUGAAAUUUUGGAAAGAGUAGAGGGAGGGGGUUGGAGCACUUUUUUGUUUAGUUAUUAUGGGCAUUUUUUUCUGCCGGACUACCCUUUAUUUAAGAUAUGCUUUAGAGUUAUCUACUUCCACCU
rnacentral:lncRNA from 1 species